rnacentral:rRNA from 1 species
GACGAACGCUGGCGGCGUGCUUAACACAUGCAAGUCGAACGCUGAAGCACCAGCUUGCUGGUGUGGAUGAGUGGCGAACGGGUGAGUAAUACGUGAGUAACCUGCCCUGUACUCUGGGAUAAGCCCGGGAAACUGGGUCUAAUACUGGAUGCUACAGGUCACCGCAUGGUGGUGUGUGGAAAGGGUUUACUGGUCUUGGAUGGGCUCACGGCCUAUCAGCUUGUUGGUGAGGUAAUGGCUCACCAAGGCGACGACGGGUAGCCGGCCUGAGAGGGUGACCGCCCCCCAGGGGGCGGAGAAAGGGCCCAGACUCCUCGGGGGGGCAGCGGGGGGGAAUUUUGCCCAAUGGGGGAAAGCCUUAUGCAGCGGGCCCGGGGGGGGGAAGACGGCCUUCGGGUUGUAAACCUCUUUCAGGAGGGAAGCAGCCACAAGUGCGUGACCCGGAAGAAGGAGCCGCGGUGAAUUCGGG